rnacentral:rRNA from 1 species
UAGUAGCGAGCCCGAAAGCCCCUCGGGGCGACGGGUGCUUUUAUUAGACCAAGAUCAAUCGGGCCUCGGUCCGUUUUGUGUGGUGACUCUGGAUAACUUUGUGCUGAUCGCACGGCCACGAGCCGGCGACGUUUCUUUCAAGUGUCUGCCUUAUCAACUGUCGAUGGUAGGUUAUGCGCCUACCAUGGUUGUUACGGGUAACGGAGAAUCAGGGUUCGAUUCCGGAGAGGGAGCCUGAGAAACGGCUACCACAUCCAAGGAAGGCAGCAGGCGCGCAAAUUACCCACUCCCGGCACGGGGAGGUAGUGACGAAAAAUAACAAUACGGGACUCUUUUGAGGCCCCGUAAUUGAAAUGAGUACACUCUAAAUCCUUUAACGAGGAUCCAUUGGAGGGCAAGUCUGGUGCCAGCAGCCGCGGUAAUUCCAGCUCCAAUAGCGUAUACUAAAGUUGCUGCGGUUAAAAAGCUCGUAGUUGGAUCUCAGUUACAGGCGGGAAGUGCGUGGACACCACGUUACGGCCCGUGCUGAACAUCAUGCCUGUCGUGGCUUGGUUCCCUUCAUCAGGUGCCUUGCCUUGGCCGGCGCGUUUACUUUGAAAAAAUUAGAGUGCUCAACGCAGGCGAUUCGCCUGAAUAACAGUGCAUGGAAUAAUAGAACAAGAUCCUGUUUCUGUUCUGUUGGUUUUUGGAAUACAGGAUAAUGAUUAAGAGGAACCGGACGGGA